CUUGCAGUCAUAACCAGCAAUAUCUGGUUCCCAAUGGUUUGCAUGUCUUCAAUGUGGAUAUUCAUUAUGUCUCCACUCCUAGGUAUCAGAUGUGACAUCCAGAUGACCCAGUAUACAUCCUCUGUGUCUGCCUCUCUGGGAGACAGAGUCAGUCUCACUUGCAGGACAUUGGGAGUCAUUUCAGCUGUGUCCAGAAGAAACCAGAGAAACCUAAGCCCCUGAUCUAUGGUCCAACUAACCAGGUCGAUGGAGUUUCAUCAAGGUUCAGUGCCAGGGGAUCUGGGAUAGAUUAUUCUCUCACCAUCAGCAACCUGGAGUCUGAUGAUGCAGGAAUCUAUUUCUGUCAACAGGCUAAGGAGUCUCCUCCCACAGUGAUAGAAGCCAUAACAUA